rnacentral:ncRNA from 1 species
UAAUUGAAGAGUUUGAUCAUGGCUCAGAUUGAACGCUGGCGGCAGGCCUAACACAUGCAAGUCGAGCGGUAACAGGGAUCAGCUUGCUGAUUCGCUGACGAGCGGCGGACGGGUGAGUAAUGUCUGGGAAACUGCCUGAUGGAGGGGGAUAACCACUGGAAACGGUGGCUAAUACCGC